UAUUCUAACCGUGCAAAGGUAGGUAAUCACUUGUCUUCUAAAUAAAGACCAGUAUGAACGGCUAAAUGAGGACAAACCUGUCUCCUACAACAAAUCAGUGAAACUGAUCUCCCAGUACAAAAGCUGGGAUAAACACAUAAGACGAGAAGACCCUGUGGAGCUUACAAAUAAACGGUCAAUGACCGUAUACUUUAAGUUGGGGCGACUUCGGAAAAAAACAAAACUUCCGAGAAUCCCAGUCAAACUGAUUAACGAACCAAGUUACCCCAGGGAUAACAGCGCCAUCUUCUUCAAGAGUCCAUAUCGACAAGAAGGUUUACGACCUCGAUGUUGGAUCAGGACACCCAAAUGGUGCAGCAGCUAUUAACGGUUCG
rnacentral:rRNA from 1 species